rnacentral:tRNA from 1 species
CAAUAUUUAUUUUAUUUAAAAUUUAAGUUUUGGGAAUUUAAGAUGUAUUUAUAUUAUAUACAGUAUUGA